UAGAGUUUGAUCAUGGCUCAGGAUGAACGCUAGCGGCAGGCCUAACACAUGCAAGUCGAGGGGUAACAGGGACUUCGGUUCGCUGACGACCGGCGCACGGGUGCGUAACGCGUAUGCAACCUACCUUUAACUGGAGCAUAGCCCCGAGAAAUCGGGAUUAAUACUCCAUAAUAUUUUUUAGUGGCAUCACUUUUAAAUUAAAGCUUUUUGCGGUUAAAGAUGGGCAUGCGUGACAUUAGUUAGUUGGUGGGGUAACGGCUCACCAAGACUACGAUGUCUAGGGGUUCUGAGAGGAUUAACCCCCACACUGGUACUGAGACACGGACCAGACUCCUACGGGAGGCAGCAGUGAGGAAUAUUGGUCAAUGGACGCAAGUCUGAACCAGCCAUGCCGCGUGAAGGAUGAAGGCCUUAUGGGUUGUAAACUUCUUUUAUACGGGAAUAAACUUAGUUAUGUAUAACUAACUGCAGGUACCGUAUGAAUAAGCACCGGCUAACUCCGUGCCAGCAGCCGCGGUAAUA
rnacentral:rRNA from 1 species